rnacentral:rRNA from 2 species
UUUUAAAUAAGAAAGAGCUUUUGGUGGAUGCCUUGGGUAUGGAAGUCGAUGAAGGACGUGAUAACCUGCGAUAAGCCUCGCUGAGUUGGACAUGAACUAUGAAGCGGGGAUUUCCGAAUGGGGGAACCCAACUGGAGUAAUAACCAGUUAUUGUAAAGUGAAUUCAUAGCUUUACAAAGAGACACGCUGUGAACUGAAACAUCUUAGUAACAGCAGGAAAAGAAAAUAAAUAAUGAUUCUGUUAGUAGUGGCGAGCGAACGCGGAAGAGCCCAAACCAGUUUACUGGGGUUGUAGGACAUUCUACAUAGAGUUACAAAAUUGCUGCAUAGAAGAACAAUUUGGAAAAAUUGACCACAGAAGGUGAAAGUCCUGUAUUUGAAAUGUAGUAGUCUCUUGAAUGUAUCCUGAGUAGGGCGGGGCACGUGAAACCCUGUCUGAAUCUGCCGGGACCACCCGGUAAGGCUAAAUACUAACCAUACACCGAUAGUGAACAAGUA